CAGAUGACUAUAUUUUUGACACUUCAAACAAGUGUCAAAAAGCCAGGUCCUGCCACAUGCUUCACUCCCAUUGCAUUCAGUGGGACUUCAGCAUCCCAGGAGCCAUGUGUCAUCCCAGGCACAUAACUGAUGGAGAAAAGGGAUCAGCACCAUCCUCCUAACAGUUUAGUAUUGUAGCUACACAAAAUACUAUGGCAAAAAUUGACACUGCGGUAUUCUAUGAAGCAACAAAAGGAAGGCUGCAAAUCCCUGCAGCUAUAUUGUGAAUAAGUUAAUGAAUUUAUACAAGGCUUUGCCAUUUAACCCCAUGAAAAGAACAGAAGUGCCAUUCAGAUGACCCAACAUCUUCAGGGUUUUUAAAUUCUGGUCACAGGACUGGUGAUCAAAUGCUGUGCGAUAGUGAGAGGACAAAGUGCUGUUGCUUCGUUCAAUUUUUACAUUGUAUCUCCUAAGCUGAAAGGCUGUCAAGGGCACCUAGAGCUUUGGAAGGAUGCCCUUCAGCACAGAGUUUCUGCAAGACCAGAAAUCAUUACGAUGUCCUUGCUACAAAAGUUUGAAAUCAAAAUACAUUAGUGAAUAUUUUAAAUUAGGGGCAGAUUCAAACUCCACUGUUCUUAAGCCUUAAACAAACCCUCUCAACUUUAAAGAUUAACUACUGAAGGUAAAGUAAAUUCAUAGCACCCAAAUGAGGCUGUAUAUGUUUAUUUAUCGUCAGUAAUUUUUUUUAAACACAAGGCAAAUAUUAAUAGCUGAAAGGUAACACUUGCAGAGUAUGUACAGAGCAAUGUACAGCUGAAUGUAAGAGGCUUUAAUCUAUUAGUAAUUUAACCAUUUUAUAAAAGCAAGUGAUGCUUUUCUCUUUAAGACCUUCUUUAGAAAUAAUUUAUUGCCAAUUCUGAACUAAAGCAAGGAGAGCAAUGUACAAUAUAAAAAGGCUGUUAGCCCCAGGAAAGUUAUAAAAGAUACACAUAUAAAAACUGUAAGCCACAAACAUUUAUACAAAGCUAAUACAAAUCUUGAUUGUUAGAUACAGAAUCUAUUAUGUUGUUACAAAAUAUUUUUCAUAAGGCUUCAUGGAAGGUAAACUCUCACUGCUAUUGAAAGCACAGGAAAGCAGUUUUAAAUAUUCUGCAAUUCAAUUAUUUGUUUUCAAGUUCAAGGCAAAGAAAUUGCAAAUGGCACUGUAUUGCAAUGCUGUGUAAUUUAAAAAAAAACCCUUAGAUUCAUCUACAUCGUGGUACCAUCAAAUACAGAAAGACCUGAAAAGUCAUCUUGUGACUAAUUUAGCAUGAAACACUGAUUAUUCUGAAACAGGAAAUGUUGCUGUUGGAAAACAACUUCUGCAACCAUCUUUAAAGAUAGUGCCUAGAGAUUCUUGACUAGCGUGGCAAUCAGCAGGAAAGUUAAAGGGGUGCACAACUAUUGCAGUCUUCAAGUGGCAACUUGCUUAUAAACUCACAGGGCCAUAUCCCAAACAGUGCUGUGUUCAGAACUAUCAGGUGUUUUUUGCUUGUUUUAGUUUUACAUACAUUAACAGCAGGAUAGAUUAAAAGACCAUUAGUUUCAAAGUUUCUGCUGAAGUUAUGUGGAGUUCAAAAUACUGACUCAGUAUUAGCCAAGAGUCAGGAAAUACUACAGACAUGCUCAAAGCAUUUUAGGUUUGCUAGAAUCCUGGAUGGCAGGAUUAAAAAAAACCCUUUACCAGACACUUAUUAGCCAAAGGACUAAGCCUAUUAGCCAGAGGCCUCUCUGGAAAGAUAAGGGGGACUCCUCUCUAGGGGACAGAAUUUUUAAAUGAGAGAUUACAUUCUGCAGGAACUGAUGGCUUAUUCCACCUCAGGAAUGUGGGGACCUACUCCAUUGGUAAGUGGAUUUUUUUCAAGACCUGGUGAACAGCCACCAUUUGUUUUCAGGUACCAAACAAAUUUAAACAAUGCAGCAAGGAAUGUUUGCUAAAUGCCAUUUUCACCUUCAAGUACAGACCGUACAAGAUAGUGGUAUACAGAAAUCAUAGCUCAAUGCAGUUACUGAUCAUUCAGUGCAGCAGUGUGUAGCCAAUGAUCCUUGGAAAAUUAGUGCUGUUAAAAGUAGCUUUUUUUU